GGUCAGGUUUAUUUCAUGUAGCAGAAUAUUUUCAAGGCUUUUGAAUGUUGUGGCAACUGUCAGCACUUCGUUAUUAUUAUUUUUGUUGUUGCUGCUCAGCUGUGCUCCAUUGUAUAGAUCUAGGACCUUUUGUUUAUCAAUUUACCAGUAUUUCUGCUUUGGUUUUACGAGUAAUUUCCCACACAAGUGUGGACAUUCUUUGUUACUUCUCACAGAUGCACAGCAGGAGCUACACACCCCUGAACUACACGGAUGCCCAUCUCACACUUAACAUUUUGUGGAACUGCCGAACUGUUUUUUAAAGUGGCUGCAUUUUAGGUUUCCACGUGAGGCGCAUACAGGCAUUUGUCUCGCCAGAAGGUAUUAUUUUGUUUGUUUGUUUUUCCUUCAGCCACCCCAGCAAGUAUACCCAGUAACCAGUGAGGCUGAGCGUCUUCUCAGGGGUUCAUCGGUCAUCUGUGUGUCUUCUCUGCUGCGGUGUCUGCCGAAACCCUUGGUUCAUUUAAGAAUUUGUCAGAAUCAGGCAUGAGCUUCCACUCUGUGGACCAUGCGGGCCCCUCCUGGGUCCUGGUCCUGCUGCUGGCACUGGGGCUGUGCACCCUCCAGGCCAGGGCUUACAGAUUUCUGGACCCUGGCUUUCGGGAAAACUAUUUUGAGCAAUACAUGGACCAUUUCAACUUCGAGAGUUUCGGCAACAAAACCUUCAACCAGCGGUUUCUGGUGUCAGAUAGGUUCUGGAAGAUAGGCCAGGGUCCCAUUUUCUUCUACACAGGGAAUGAGGGGGAUAUCUGGUCCUUUGCUAACACCUCGGGCUUCGUGGUGGAACUGGCAGCCCAGCAGAAAGCCCUGCUUGUCUUUGCCGAGCACCGGUACUAUGGGAAAUCGCUUCCAUUCGGUGUGCAGUCCACACGGCGGGGAUUUACACAGCUGCUGACUGUGGAGCAGGCACUGGCGGACUUUGCUGUGCUGCUCCAGGCCCUGCGGCAGGAUCUCGGGGUCCCGGAUGCCCCCAUCAUAACCUUUGGAGGAAGUUAUGGGGGGAUGCUGAGCGCCUACAUGAGGAUGAAGUAUCCCCACCUGGUGGCUGGGGCCCUGGCAGCCAGCGCUCCUGUCCUAGCUGUUGCGGGUCUUGGCAACUCCUACCAGUUCUUCCAAGACGUCACAGCCGACUUCUACCGCCAGAGUCCCAAGUGCGCCCAGGCUGUGCGGGACGCCUUCCGCCAAAUCAAAGACCUGUUCCUCCAAGGAGCCUACGACACCAUCAGCCAGAAUUUUGGUACCUGCCAGCCACCUUCCAGCCCAAAGGACCUGACUCAGCUCUAUAAGUUUGCCCGGAAUGCAUUUACUGUGCUCGCCAUGAUGGACUACCCAUACCCUACCGACUCCGCAGGUCACCUUCCUGCCAACCCUGUAAGGGCGGGCUGCGAACUGCUGCUGAGUGCGGGCCAGAGGAUCAAGGGUCUGCGAGCUCUGGCGGGGCUCGUCUACAACUCCUCUGGCACGGAGCUCUGUUACGACAUCUACCGCCUGUUCAAAAGCUGCGCUGACCCCACUGGCUGCGGCAUUGGCUCUAAGGCCAAGGCCUGGGACUACCAGGCCUGUACGGAGAUCAAUCUGACCUUUGACAGCAACAAUGUGACUGACAUGUUCCCUGAACUCCCGUUCUCUGAUGAACUCCGCCAGCAAUACUGCCUGGCUACAUGGGGUGUGUGGCCCCGGUCAGGCUGGCUGCAGACCAGCUUCUGGGGUGGCGACCUUAAAACUGCCAGCAACAUCAUUUUCUCCAACGGUGACCUGGACCCCUGGGCAAGAGGUGGGAUCCGGAGCAAGGUGAGUGCAUCAGUCAUUGCUGUCCGGAUCCAUGGCGGAGCACAUCACCUAGACCUCAGAGCAUCUAACCCAGGAGAUCCCCCAUCUGUUGUGGAGGUGCGGAAUCUGGAGGCUACCCUCAUUCGAGAAUGGGUAGAGGCAGCCAGACCAAAGGGUCUCCCAUUCAGCUAAGACCCAGCAGGGCCCAGAGGUCCCUCGUUCUGUGUGAGCAGUUGUGGCCCGACAGCUUGCCUUAUGUCUGAAGGACUGCCCAGAUCCACAGCGGUCAGCCCAGGGUGGACUUUCAUACAAGGGGCUGCUGGCCAGUGAGAUGGCCCCGUGGGUAAUGGCGUCCCCUGCCAUUCUCUUGCUCGCAUGGUGGAAGAGAAGUGACUCCCA